AUUAGAGGAGUGUGGAAUGUUCUUAUGGCCAUUCUAAGCCCACAAGUACUUAAUUUCUCCACAAAGAGGAAAAAAGCUAUUGUUUUCGGUUUACUCAGAUUUUUUUUCUUACUCAUUUCAUUAUUGGCCAAUCUUCAAAAUGAAAGCUAUGGUGAUAUCCUAGGAAGUUCAUCUCAAGGGCAGCCGGGCAGUGCGCAUAUGGCAACACAGUCCCUGCUUUCACAGGCAAGAACAGAGAAGGUGGACAGAGGACACUGACACAGAGCCAGGGAAAGCAAGGAGACCUCGCCCCCCCAAAGGUGAUCACAUAAAUGGAUGGAAAGUCCAUGUCUGGAUGUGUGAAAGUGAAGGCUUUUUAUGAGUGACUAGCCCACCUGAAGGCCCCAGUGGGGUCAGCUGCCUGAACCAUGCUCCUCCGGAAUCAGACAUGGUGCCAUCGCAGGUGAAAAAGGACGAGCGGAUUCUAGCAACCCAGAGUUAGUGCAGAGAUUUUAUCCUAUGGAUUUGAACGCUCCGUGUAAUUCAACUCAAUCUGAAAGGAUGUUGAGCGGAACGUGACCACGAUAACAGAGGUGCACCUUCCACACAUGGACAGAAUUCAGUCUCAAGUAUCAUGACGUCCAGACCUUCUCCAAGCCUGGGUCAUCCAAGUUUACAAAGAAAUGGGAGACAAGUGGAGGUGCUGACAAAUAUUUAUGCUACUAUUUUCUGUUAGAAAUGGAGUUGAGAAUGAAGGAGCAACAAAGAAGUGCACUCACGUGUCAGCGCUAUUCCUGAGUACAUACCAGCGGCCUUUGUGGCCUUUCCCUAAGCUCAGCGGUGUCCUCCACAAGGCUCCUGCGCCCCGGGGCGGCCCCCAACACGGGGCACCUCUGCCGCGACCUGCACUCAGGCGCUGGUUCCAAAAGACCGGUUUGUCAUGAACGCAGGGACUUACCCUGCUCCCUUUGUUUAAACACCCCACACCUAAGUAAUUAGGGCCCAAGAUGAAAAAGAUUGUUAGAAAAAAAAGAUUUUGAAUGAAAAUUGCAAGUAAUGUAUUUGCAGAAUAAAGGGACAG